AGCGCACCGCGUGACUGGUAACAGGAGCGGCUAGGUAAACCCCACCUGGAGCAAGACCAAAUAGGGGGGCAAGUGGCUACGGCCAUAACGUGUGGUCCACACGGUUCCCGGGUAGGUUGCUUGAGGAGUACGGUGACGUAUUUCCCAGACGAAUGAUUGCCCACGACAGAACCCGGCUUAUCGGUCGGCUCUCCCA
rnacentral:RNase_P_RNA from 1 species